rnacentral:misc_RNA from 1 species
CUGAGUAUAUGGGUCUUUUUAGGCCCUUACUCCCACCCUAUGUGUACCUUCUAUUUAUUUGGUUGCCUUGGUGGAAAACCCCACUAAAUCUCCUUGCAGAUUUAGGCGGUUCCACCAGGGGGACCGCCCAUAAACUCUUGUUAAUGGUGUUGUCUGAGAAAAUCAAACAAAUAAAUUA